ACGAACGCUGGCGGCACGCUUAACACAUGCAAGUCGAACGAGAGAAGAGAAGCUUGCUUUUCUGAUCUAGUGGCGGACGGGUGAGUAACACGUGAGCAAUCUGCCUUUCAGAGGGGGAUACCGAUUGGAAACGAUCGUUAAUACCGCAUAAUAUAAUUGAACCGCAUGAUUUGAUUAUCAAAGAUUUAUCGCUGAGAGAUGAGCUCGCGUCUGAUUAGCUAGUUGGUAAGGUAACGGCUUACCAAGGCGACGAUCAGUAGCCGGACUGAGAGGUUGAUCGGCCACAUUGGGACUGAGACACGGCCCAGACUCCUACGGGAGGCAGCAGUGGGGAAUAUUGCACAAUGGAGGAAACUCUGAUGCAGCGAUGCCGCGUGAGGGAAGAAGGUUUUAGGAUUGUAAACCUCUGUCUUCAGGGACGAAAAAAGACGGUACCUGAGGAGGAAGCUCCGGCUAACUACGUGCCAGCAGCCGCGGUAAUACGUAGGGAGCGAGCGUUGUCCGGAAUUACUGGGUGUAAAGGGAGCGUAGGCGGGAUCGCAAGUCAGAUGUGAAAACUAUGGGCUUAACCCAUAAACUGCAUUUGAAACUGUGGUUCUUGAGUGAAGUAGAGGUAAGCGGAAUUCCUAGUGUAGCGGUGAAAUGCGUAGAUAUUAGGAGGAACAUCAGUGGCGAAGGCGGCUUACUGGGCUUUAACUGACGCUGAGGCUCGAAAGCGUGGGGAGCAAACAGGAUUAGAUACCCUGGUAGUCCACGCCGUAAACGAUGAUUACUAGGUGUGGGGGGACUGACCCCUUCCGUGCCGCAGCAAACGCAAUAAGUAAUCCACCUGGGGAGUACGACCGCAAGGUUGAAACUCAAAGGAAUUGACGGGGGCCCGCACAAGCAGUGGAGUAUGUGGAUUAAUUCGAAGCAACGCGAAGAACCUUACCAGGUCUUGACAUCGUAUGCAUAGCUCAGAGAUGAGUGAAAUCUCUUCGGAGACAUAUAGACAGGUGGUGCAUGGUUGUCGUCAGCUCGUGUCGUGAGAUGUUGGGUUAAGUCCCGCAACGAGCGCAACCCUUACUGUUAGUUGCUACGCAAGAGCACUCUAGCAGGACUGCCGUUGACAAAACGGAGGAAGGUGGGGAUGACGUCAAAUCAUCAUGCCCCUUAUGACCUGGGCCUCACACGUACUACAAUGGCUGUUAACAGAGGGAUGCAAAGCCGCGAGGUGGAGCGAACCCCUAAAAGCAGUCUUAGUUCGGAUUGUAGGCUGCAACCCGCCUACAUGAAGUCGGAAUUGCUAGUAAUCGCAGAUCAGCAUGCUGCGGUGAAUACGUUCCCGGGCCUUGUACACACCGCCCGUCACGCCAUGGGAGUCGGUAACACCCGAAGCCUGUAGUCUAACCGCAAGGAGGACGCAGUCGAAGGUGGGAUUGAUGACUGGGGUG
rnacentral:rRNA from 1 species